GAUUGAUCACCAUCUCCAUGACUAUCCUAUGAUCGAAAGUAAUUUAAAAAUCGAUUAUACAUGCCUCUAAUUUUCAACACUUGAGAAUAUGUAUCGCAACAUCAAUUUCAAGAAUGAUUCAAAGAUGCAUAACACUUGAAUGAAAAAAGAAAACCUAUCCUUCAUUGAUUAAAUCAACAGUUUAAGUACAAAUAUGUGUCAUAGAAUAAAAAUAUAUCAGUCAAUAAUUAAUUUCUAGAACAUACA
rnacentral:lncRNA from 1 species